rnacentral:rRNA from 1 species
GGGCCCGCACAAGCGGUGGAGCAUGUGGUUUAAUUCGACGAUACGCGAGAAACCUUACCUGGGUUUGACAUGGAUUUGACUGGGGUAGAGAUACCCCUUCCCGCAAGGGCAGAUUCACAGGUGUUGCAUGGUCGUCGUCAGCUCGUGUUGUGAGAUGUUGGGUUAAGUCCCGCAACGAGCGCAACCCCUAUCUUCUGUUGCCAUCAUUAAGUUGGGCACUCUGAAGAAACCGCCGGUGACAAACCGGAGGAAGGUGGGGAUGACGUCAGAUCAGCAUGGCCCUUAUAUCCAGGGCUACACACGUGCUACAAUGGCCGGUACAGAGGGACGCAAUGCCGCGAGGUGGAGCAAAUCCCACAAAGCCGGUCUCAGUUCAGAUUGCAGUCUGCAACUCGACUGCAUGAAGUCGGAAUCGCUAGUAAUCGCAAAUCAGCAUGUUGCGGUGAAUACGUUCCCGGGCCUU